rnacentral:rRNA from 2 species
UCCACCUCUUCCCAUUCCGAACAGAGAAGUUAAGCCUUGUCACGCCGAUGGUACUGCGUCACAGUGGGAGAGUAGGUAGCCGCCGUUU